AGAUUGAACGCUGGCGGCAUGCUUUACACAUGCAAGUCGUGCGGCAGCGCGGGGGCAACCCUGGCGGCGAGCGGCGAACGGGUGAGGAAUACAUCGGAACGUACCCCGGAGUGGGGGAUAACCCAGCGAAAGUUGGACUAAUACCGCAUAUGCUCUAGAGGAGGAAAGCAGGGGACUUCGCAAGAGGCCUUGCGCUCGUGGGAGCGGCCGAUGUACCGAUUAGCUAGGUUGGUGGGUAAUGGCUCACCAAGGCGACGAUACGGUAGCUGGUCUGAGAGGAUGAUCAGCCACACGUGGACUGAGACACGGUCCAGACCUCCGUACGGGAGGCGAAGCGAGGUUAGGGUAAUUUUGGAACG
rnacentral:rRNA from 1 species